UUUUAAAAUAUAAUAUGACCCACAUUCUAAAUUUUUUUUUAUCCCUAAUUUACCCUUAUGCCCUAAAUAUAACCUCUAUUACGUUCUUCAAUCCAGAUCUGUUUCUCUUUUUCAAUUCUUUUUUUCCUUUUCUCGAUUCUUUUCUCUCGCUGCUCUCUCUCUCUCUCUCAAUUAUGGUGGGAUGGCUAUUAGGACUACAUUGUUAUGGAGGUUGUCAUCGGACUGGUCACCGAGGCGUUUUUUAGAUCGAAUCUUGAUGUGGGUGGUGAUGGUUCUGGUUGGUGGCGGCGGUGGCGGUUCUAGUUUCUGGUGGCGGUGGCGGCGGCGGCGGUUCUAGUUUCUGGCGGCGGCGGCGGCGGAUCUGGUUGCUGGCGGCGGCGACGGCGGAUCUGGUUGCUAGCGGCGAUGGCGACGGCGGUGGUUCUGGUAGUUGAGGGCGGCGACGGCGGAUCUGGUUCAACUAAUCAUAUUUUUCUUUUUUUGUCUCUUUCGAGAGGUCUCUCGCCGCUCUCUCUCCCUCUCGCUCUAUCUAUCUCUCUCUCGCUCACUCAAUUAUGGUGGCUAUAGUGGGUGGCUGUCGGAGAGAAUUACAGAUCUGCAAAUUGCAGCGGGUAUAUUAUGGAGGAAACUUGUGAAGGAAGAGAGAGAUUGAGGGGGGGCCAGGAUCCUGGGAUGGAAGAUGAAGCGGCGUUUGGACAGGUGAUUGGGGCGGAGGAGUUGGUGUUUGAUGAUCGGAGAGAGUGAAAGCAGUAAUGGUUUUGCUGUAAGAAUGGUUGUCCGGUGGGGGUAGAGUGAUUAUCACCACUGUACCUGUAAGUUGAGGAUUAGACCCCUCCUCCAUCACAUUUCAAAGCUAGUGUGUGUGUGUGUGUGUGUGUGUGUGUGUGUGUGUGUGAAUUCCUUCUCUCUCUCACACCUGUGCGUUCAGGAGGAAGAAGGAGAAUAUGAAUUGGACGACUCUCUCUAUUUGAUUUCCUUUCAUUCAAAGUCAACAAUGGAGAUGCAUAAUAAAACAUAAAAAAGAAAAAAAUAUGCAUAAACCCAUUCAGUGGACUAGUUGAGCAGAGGAUAUCCACCGUGUUUCGUGCCAUUUUCGUUUACAAGAUUACAAUAUACAGUAUUCAUUUGUUGGGUAAAGGUUAAUUUACGAAAAAAUACUUCUUGUUUGAAUUUUUUAAAUUUGUUGUCGGCUAGGUUCGGCGACGGCUGAGGGUUGUUUGCGGCUAGAGUUUGGAACAGUACACCGUAGUAAACUAUAGUACACCGUAGUAUACUAUUGCACAAAUAUGCUAUUGUAACCCGUAGUAUGCUACAGUACACCGUAGUAUACUAUAGUCUACUACAG
rnacentral:lncRNA from 1 species